GGAAGUGUGCCCGAAUUUAAAGGACUACUUUGAUAGAGUAGACUAUAGGGGCUAAACCCCCUCACUUC
rnacentral:tRNA from 1 species